UCCGUAGGUGAACCUGCGGAAGGAUCAUAUUGA
rnacentral:rRNA from 1 species